rnacentral:rRNA from 1 species
UACAGAGGGUGCAAGCGUUGUUCGGAAUUAUUGGGCGUAAAGGGAGUGUAGGCGGUGAGUUAAGUCUUCUGUGAAAGCUGCGGGCUUAGCCUGCAAAGUGCAGAGGAAACUGGCUGACUUGAGUGUCGGAGAGGAUAGGGGAAUACCCAGUGUAGAGGUGAAAUUCGUAGAGAUUGGGAAGAACACCAGUGGCGAAGGCGGCUAUCUGGACGGUUUCUGACGCUAAGACGCGAAAGCGUGGGGAGCAAACAGG